AUGCCGUGGUGUGGGCAUGCUUGGUUGUAUUCCUGAAAACGUUCCCAGACUUCUGGGAUAGUCUCAUCCAGUAAUUGUUGAAUUCUGGAGAUCCUGUUCCUGAGGGC